ACGGAAGGCAGCAGUGGGGAAUAUUGGACAAUGGGGGAAACCCUGAUCCAGCGACGCCGCGUGAGUGAAGAAGUAUUUCGGUAUGUAAAGCUCUAUCAGUAGGGAAGAAAAUGACGGUACCUAACUAAGAAGCUCCGGCUAAAUACGUGCCAGCAGCCGCGGUAAUACGUAUGGAGCAAGCGUUAUCCGGAUUUACUGGGUGUAAAGGGAGCGUAGACGGCAAAGCAAGUCUGAUGUGAAAUAUUGGGGCUCAACCCCGAAACUGCAUUGGAAACUGUUUAGCUAGAGUGCAGGAGAGGUAAGUGGAAUUCCUAGUGUAGCGGUGAAAUGCGUAGAUAUUAGGAGGAACACCAGUGGCGAAGGCGGCUUGCUGGACGACAACUGACGCUGAGGCGCGAAAGCGUGGGGAGCAAACAGGAUUAGAUACCCUGGUA
rnacentral:rRNA from 1 species